UAUUAAUAACUCAACACAGCGAACAAUGCCACUUUAAGAUUUUGUUAAAAAUAUUGAACCAACUAGCUCAUAAGGAAACCAAUCAAACGAAACGCCUGAAUGCAACUAACCCACAGUAAGUUAACUCAAAACCGUUUUAUAGAAUGAAAUGGUUUAUACUGGAUGAACAAAAGCAGAAUAAAAUCAUUUCUAUGGCACAGCCUUUUUUUUGUUUAGUAGAUAUGCUUUCUGAAUUACCUCCCACACAACAGCAAUACCCAAUUUGAAAAAGAGAGACAGGAAAAUGUAUAAACAUAAAUGUUAUUUAUCCUCAUUCGUUGAACUCGCCUCCUCGUCUUCGCCCUCAUCAUCAGAACGACUGUCAG